CGCUGAAUUUAAGCAUAUUAAUAAGCGGAGGAAAAGAAACUAACAAGGAUUCCUUUAGUAACGGCGAGUGAAGAAGGAAUAGCUCAAAUUUAAAUCAUGAAUCUCUGGUUUAUGAAUUGUAGUUUUAGAAGUUGGAUUCGUUUUUCAAUAAUAUACUUAAAUCCUUUGGAAAAAGGUAUCAUAGAAGGUGAAAAUCCUGUUUAUAGUAUAUUAAUUGAGAGGCAUAUGUAUCUGAUUUCAAGAGUCGGGUUGUUUGGGAAUGCAACCUAAAAUGGGUGGUAAAUCUCAUCUAAAGCUAAAUAUUGAUAGGAGACCGAUAGCAAACAAGUACCGUGAGGGAAAGGUGAAAAGAACUUUGAAAAGAGAGUUAAAAGUACUUGAAAAUUGUUAACAGGGAAACGAUAUAAUCCUUUAUACUAUUUGAAUUGAAUCAAUUUUAUCAUGUUUAUUUGUGGUAUUUAUAAUUGCUUGCUUUAUGGAUAUUACUGAUGAAUUGAUAGGAUGC
rnacentral:rRNA from 1 species